rnacentral:lncRNA from 1 species
GUUCGUACAGUUUGCAUUCAGUUCAAUUCGAGACAGCCACAAAGGCAGUCUAACUAAAAAAAUUCGGAAAAAACUGUUAGUGAAAAAAAAAAAAAUUUUAAAGUAAUUUUCGCGUGUGAAAAAGCAACCCAUCAGUCUCGUGUUUCUUUUAAUAAAAAAAAAUAAAAAUUUCUGCUUAGUUCGGCAUAAAAAAUAGUGAGUUUAGAGGCAAAUAAAUUAAAUUUAAAAAUAAAUUUUCUUAUCGGUUUCAAAACAAUUUUUAGCUGCUACAAAAGUUUUCGGAUCGAAGUUGGCUGGAAUUCACAUAGACAGCUUUCAUUCAGUUCAAUUCAAGGCAGCCACAAAAGCAGCCAACAAAACAAAAACCGGAAGUAAUUGUUAAAAAAAAAAUUAAAUUAAAUUAAUUGAAAAAGUUAGUUUUUUUUUCGGAAAAGCGAAAAGCAAGCUUUUUGUCACGGUUUUAUUUUGUAUUAAUUCAAAACUGUUUCCUUUUUGCAGUUCCGUUCAAACAAUUCACACAAAAACGAAGCUAAAAAUAAAUUUCGAAUUAAUACAGCAACUGAAAGGUCUCUUGGCGCAGAAGAAACUUUUCUGAACUCUCUUGGCACAGGAGUUACUCAAUGCGCUGUUCGGGAUCCUCAACAACCCAACUACCAGUGGAACAUUCUUAGCCGGAACGCCAAGGGAUUUGCCGCCCAUGGCUACAGCUGCGUGGAGACUCAACCGAAACCUACACCCGGUCUACAGUGCCGGUGUUACAAUUGCAUUUAAUACAAAGUAAUCAAAGGCCGGCAUGUAUAUUUGUGAAACUGCACGCCCAAACGUUCCAUGAGUGUGGACACAACGAGGAAGGUUUUCCACCGGCACGCAUCGCCAUUUUCAUGCAAACGGUGGCACUGCAGACCACUCAAGUUGACAUCGCAAGUGUGAAGCGCAUCCUUGGAUAUCUUUCGAUCCACCGAUGAUACAUAAGCAGGAUGUUCCCCCGAUUACCGAUGUGAUCUUGGUUGUUCUGCAGUUCCAUCGUGUGCAUGCAAAUGACAAUGCGCACUGGAGGAAACCUUUCUCGCGGUGUGCACUCGCAUGGAACUUCUGGACGUUUAGUUUGACAAAUAUAAGUCGGACCCACACUCAAGGAUACACAAACCAUUCCCCACAUUUAUAAACAUUGACAAAAAUAAACAACACUAUAAAG